rnacentral:rRNA from 1 species
UACGGGGGGGGUAAGCGUUGUUCGGAAUUACUGGGCGUAAAGGGCUCGUAGGCGGCCAACUAAGUCAUACGUGAAAUCCCUCAGCUUAACUGGGGACUGCGUGUGAUACUGGAUGGCUUGGAUUUGGGAGAGGGAUGCGGAAUUCCAGGUGUAGCGGUGAAAUGCGUAGAUAUCUGGAGGAACACCGGUGGCGAAGGCGGCCACUCG